rnacentral:misc_RNA from 1 species
CCAAACUUGGUCAUUUAGAGGAAGUAAAAGUCGUAACAAGGUUUCCGUAGGUGAACCUGCGGAAGGAUCAUCACUGGACAUGAAAUCCACAAGCCGUGUGAACUGUAAGAGGGGGCCAGCUUGGCGGGGGGGGAUGGUUGAGGCCAGCAGAUGGGGUCGAGACCGCAUCGAGGCGAGGUCGCAUCGAGGCUCGCACACCCCCCAGGCUCGCACGCCCCGCGCUACCUCCACAGGUGGCACCCGCCACGUGCCCACACUUUCAACAAACAUUUCAAACACUCGAGCUAAAUAAUACACACUUUGUAAACUACAAACAACUUUCAACAACGGAUCUCUUGGCUCUCGCAUCGAUGAAGAACGCAGC